rnacentral:lncRNA from 10 species
GAACUCUCCAACCUGAAAAGGAACGCCUUCCACUCAUCAGUCCUGGCUUAGAACCAGCUUAGCUGGAACCAGAAACAUGCUCCAUUCAUUUCAAGAGAUUCAACCCUCAUCGUUCCAAAAAUUUAGUUUAUAUUUGAUGAACUUAAAGUGGCAUCCCGUCAACAUACAGGCGGGGACGGUGGGUUUAAAACCAGUCCCAUCCCCAGUUUGCCUCAGAAUCCCCAAGGCCAGCAGGACUGCCUAGAGAUCAGGAGUGAAGCUGGGAAUGACCAUUUGGCUACUGCAGCCCUCACCUUGCGCUUUUCCACCUAGAUUUGUUUGUGGGGCAGGGGAGAGAACUGGAGAGAAGUGGGGCGGUGGUGGACAAAUUCUGGGGGAUAGGUGAAAAGAGAACAUGAGACGUAUCCGAAUAAAGUUUUCUACGUCCUCAAAGAGAAAUGGCACUGACGGAGAAACCGAAAAGAAACCUUCAGAUUCUCACCAGCGGUGAUUUGCGCUGCAAAGGGCGCAGAAACGCGGCUCUCAGACCUUGCCUGCGCGUGGGUUAAUUAAAACCAAUCCAGGUUCUGCAGCCCCCGACUCCUCCCUGCGGUUUAGCAGAAGGUAGGCGGGCUGCCCCAACCCUUAAAUACCCACGGGUCGACGCCGGCCAGAACCACGGACAGCUCCCGCCCUGUGGCCCAUGUGUCCUCCCAGCGCUGUGCGGUCUGCAGUUUCACCCGGAGGACAAGGAGUGUGGCUGCAGAUCGGGUCGGCCUGCCCUUGCUCUGCUUCUUCCCCACCCACACUUGGUGGGUGUCUUCUAGGCUGUCCAGCCUUGAACUAAGCACCCCAAGAGGAGUCAGAGCCCGAGAGAUGAGAAAGGGGCGCCCGAUGAAGAUCUAGGUCCGUCCCUCUCUGGGAGCUCAGCUACUGCGCCCGAGAGGCAGCGCUCAGACAGCGGGGAGGAGGCGGCCGCGGAGCCCCCGGAGAUGGAGGGUGAAGGCCUGCUUUCAAAGUAUCCCACGUCGUUCAGCAAAGAUUCGUCAUUUAGAAUUCAGACCUGCCAAGACCACGGAUGCUUUGUCUCAGCUCGGAUAUCUUCAUUUCUCCUUCUUACAGUUUCCUUGUUUCCGAGGAAAAACACAAGAUCUUGACAACUGCAAUCACCUGGUAACCAAUCAUGAAUCUGGUAUGGACCACUUUCACCCUGCACCCUGUCAGGCAGUUUCCAUCUUCUCACAAUCUUCACAAGAAUCCUACAGAAACAAGACGUAUCCCCCGAUUUACUGAUGAUGAUCCUUCAGCCCAGAGAUGGUACCACAGGUCUAGAGAAUAGAAGUUAAGGGCAGACAUUGUGGAACUGGCUUUGGUCUGUGAAGACACUCUCCAUCGGCUGAACCCAACUGGAAGUCGGAGGGUAAAGGGCCCAUGACUCAGUCCGUUCAGGCUGACCCGCCUGGGGCUCAGAGCAUAACAGACAAGGGUGGGGAAGAAAAAAGAAUGGACUUGGAGAAGCAAAUGGGAAAUAUUCAGGCACUUCUGAUCUCAGUUUGGCCAGUCGGCUCCCCUCUCUCUGACUGUAAACACAGAGAUACAGAAACUGUCAUUAGAAAUGAGUAGUGUUAAUGAUCCAUGACAGAAAGCUCGUGAAUUUCUACUGCUGAGGAGGCUUGAGCUUUUCUGUUUUCAUUCUUUCUACACAUCGGGAGCGGAGCUCCCCAAUGCCUUUCUGAUACAUCGCUACUUCUGCUUCACCUAAUCAAAGGCACUUACUGCUGCUCAGAACCUCAGGCCUCCAACUGAACAAUGAACAGGUUUUCUCUCCAUCACCCCCUGUUCUCUAGUGUGAGUAGUUAGAUUACUGCUUUUAUGUCUGUCUUCCCAACUACAGUCCACAAAACGGCUCAUAUUGAACAGUAAUACAAAUAAAGAGAAAAAGGAGAGAAGACAAGAACAAAAAGUAAUGAGUUUAGAAACUUGGAAAGUAGAAACUUCUUUGGUAUGUUCCUGUUGAAAACCACUGGUCUCAUCUUCCACUUUUUCACAUUGCUGUUUCAGAGAAAAACUUAAUUAUACUUAAUUAUAGGGUUGUAAUGUUUAUAGGGUUGGUUAUUCUGGUUAGCCAAAUUUACUGGUUAUCUGUUUAGAGCCUUUGAAUUUUAAUUCUAGCUGACACAUUUGUUAAAACAUUAUUAGCUUACCUUUCUUCCUUAAUGAGUACUGGAUCUUCCCAGAGAAAAGGUUCCCAGUCAUUUACCUGGAAUUUUUUAUACAUAUUUGCAGCUGUUCUUUGAGCUCCCUAAAGAGCAUAAUUAGAGACAUAACAUUCACUCAGAUUUUCUGCCCUUCUUUGUAAUAAGUCAAUGAGCCAGUCAUUUAUUCCACAAAUAUUUGUUGAUACCUACUGUGUGCCUGUCAGCAGUUCUCCAAGCAGGGGCUACAAAAAUAAAAAGAUUGUCUUUUAAUGAGGAGCAACUUCGAGUCUUAGCUCUUGGUACUCCCUCUGUCUAGUAAUAUCCAUUUUUAUACUUAGUAUUUUAAUAAAUAACUCUUCCUCAAAUUAUUUUAAAACACACAGUAACAGAAAAAAUUAUUUAUUUAUUCUACUUUCUCUUAAUUACACCUGUGGGGAGCUUGGCGGGGCAGACUCUGGGUUUCCAGCCAAGGUCUUUCUGUCCACCUGGGGGCAGCAGACCCUCACACAGAAAAGUACCUCGAAGGAAGCAAUUGGCUUUCUGAGCUCCUGGCUUUCAAACACAAGUCUUCCAAAUUAUGGACCCAUGAAUAUUCUAAAGACUUAUACUCGAAGGACGCUUCCAAAAUCAAAUAAAUUUGGGUUGAACCAAGUUAAAUAGGGUUUUAACCCUGCAGGACUUCUCACGAUGUUUAAUAUACUUUUUUUUUUCUUUUCUUUCUUUCUUCGACAGAGUCUCGCUGUAUUGCCAGACUGGAGUGCAGUGGCGUGAUCUCGGCUCACUGCAACCUCCGCCUCCCAGGUUCAACUGAUUCUCCUGCCUCAGCCUCCUGAGUAGCUGGGACUACAGGCGCCCACCACCACGCCCAGCUAAUUUUUUUUUAUUUUUAGUAGAGAUGGGGUUUCACCAUGCUGGCCAAGCUGGUCUCGAAUUCCUGACCUCAGGUGAUCCACCCGCGUUAGCCUCCCAAAGUGCUGACAUUACAGGUGUGAGCCACUGCGCCGGGCCUAAUAUAGUUUUGUCGUACAAAACACGAUGGCAUACUUGCUCUGUGCAAAGUACAUCACCCACAGUGGCCUAUUUAAACUUGGCAACAGUCCUAUGAGAUAGGCACUAAUUGUGUUCCCCAUUUUACAAAUGAGGAAACAGAGGCACGGAGCUUAUAACUGGUGGCUGAGUUUCCGGUUGGGGCCAUCUAGUUACAGAACUUGCAUGCUUAAUCAUGACACCGUAAUGCUUUGCAAUGGGAGAUUCCAAGAGGGGGAAUUUGACAUUCAGUGUUUCCCAAAUUUAUUUGGCUUUGGAACCCUUUUAUUCCUUCUAAUCAACAUAGAGGACAAGUAUGUAAUGGGAUACUCUGAUAAAUGCUUCAAUAAAGCAAUGGCUUUAUGCCGCCCCGCUUUAAAAGAUAACUAAAAAUAUAAGUCCACAGGCCCAUCAUAUAAUUGAACAGGUAACGACUGAAUUUUGAUUUGAUGGAAAGACUCUUAUCAUAUUAAUCUAAGUUCUCAAAGUGAAUGCCACUAAACCAAGACUAUUCAGUGUAUUUGAAGUAUGUACAAUACCAGUCCGAAUUGGGACUUCUCAGGAAGAAAAAAGGGUAUAUGGCAGAUGGGUAAGAAUAGAAAGCCACAGGUCUAGCAGGGAAGCUAAAUAUGGUGUGGAAUGUGUUGGGGAGAUGGGAAAAAUGCUCACCUCUUCAUGGAAGUUCGAAAAGAAGGCUGAGAUUCUAAAUAAUGCUGGAGUAUUGCAGCUGGAACAAGCAUGAUAGCAAUGGCCAACACAAGGCCUUUCUAGAAUAAAUCUAAAACAAUUAAGAGAUAAUAUGAUAGCAUUGGGAGAUAUACCUAAUGCUAGAUGACGAGUUAGUGGGUGCAGCGCACCAGCAUGGCACAUGUAUACAUAUGUAACUAACCUGCACAUUGUGCACAUGUACCCUAAAACUUAAAGUAUAAUAAUAAUAAAAAGAAAAGAAAAAAAAAAGAGAUAAUAUGCCAGGGGGUUGAUGCCAGGUAAUACUGAUAGUUACCUUAAACAAUGUUUUCUCAACUUCAGUUUUUUACACACCAACUUCAUGAUUUUUUUCUAUCAAGAUACGACUACUAUUAUUUAUCUAGCGUUUUUUAAAUUGUCUUAUAUCUUUGCUUAAAUUUAUUUUUUUAAACAUUAAUAUCUGAGAAUUCAUCAUUUUGAAGGAAUAAUUAUAUUGUUCUAAUAUAUAAAUUUUAAAGUUAAUAUCUUUAUUCCAUCUAAAGUGGUAUGUGUACUAUUCUUUGGAAAUGAUUUUCUAAAGGAUUAAAAACUUGCCAGUGUUGGAAAAAAAAGGAAACAGGAAAAUUAAGACUGAGUUAAAGAAGGUGAAAACAAAAUUGAAGAAUAAGACUAAAGGUUAGACAUGAAAUAGAUCUGUCUCUAAUUAGAGGUGCAAUGUCAAAUUUUUUUGUAGAUCGUUCUAAAAAUAUCACUUGUUCUUUUGCUUGUAUUUUAAUUCAAUGAUUAAAUAAACAGAUGACCUAGUUUCAUUAACAGAUUAUCUUUUUCUUAGUUCUGUCUGAUAACUGCAACAAAAAUGUCAAAUACCCCUCAUAUAAAUUAUCAAAUCAAAAGGUUAUUCAUUAUAUGGAAUGUUUUAUUUAUGACCAUCUGUAUUGCAGCUUUGAGUUAACAUUAACUUGG